rnacentral:tmRNA from 1 species
GGGGGCGACAUGGCUUCGACGGAUAAAUUGUUAACUUUUAGUUGCAUGUCGAGGGACUCUAGUAACCUCGCAAAUCAUCUAGGGAAAACUAAUAAGUGCCGAUUACGGUUACGCAGCUGCUGCUUAAUUAGUCAGUAGCCAUCUCUUUUAGUUUUUGUGUGUGAAACUAUUUUAGAGGUGUCAUCUUUAACACACUCGUCUAGCAAUUUUUCUGCUGUUACUAGAUUAAAUCAUCUAUUUCGGUAGAUACGCAGAAUCGUCUAAAUAAGUUUGUUUGUUUAUAAAAUUUAGAUUAAAACCUAAAAUAAACUAAACAUGUAGACGCUAUUAGAAAGCUUUAUUCGGACGUGGGUUCGAUUCCCACCGCCUCCACAA